rnacentral:rRNA from 1 species
AGCCACAGCCAUAUCACCCUGCAGCCCAAGACCGGUUACUCACUGAAGCUAAGCAGGGCUGAACCUGGUCAGUACCUGGAUGCAAUAGUAUGAAGCUGCAGGCCUGGAGACCCGGGCUGAUUCCGGCUC